rnacentral:rRNA from 1 species
AUGGCCCUGCCCCGCCGCCUCCUCCCCCUCUUCCUCCGCCGCGGCGGCCGCCUCCCCUCCUCCCCCGCCCCCGCCCCCACCCCCGUCCGCGCCCUCUCCACGGCCGCCUUGCCGGCCGACGCCCUCGCCGCGGAGGAGGAGGACGACUCCAUCACCAUCAAGGGCGUGCGCAUCUCCGGCCGCCCGCUCUACCUGGACAUGCAGGCGACCACACCCGUGGACCCGCGGGUGCUCGACGCCAUGCUCCCCUUCUACCUCUCCCGCUACGGCAACCCGCACUCCCGCACCCACCUCUACGGCUGGGAGUCGGACGCCGCCGUCGAGGAGGCCCGCGCGCGCGUCGCGAGGCUCAUCGGCGCCGACCCCAGGGAGAUCUUUUUCACCUCGGGCGCCACCGAGUGCAACAACAUCGCCGUCAAGGGCGUCAUGCACUUCUACCGCGACCGCCGCCGCCACGUCAUCACCACCCAGACCGAGCACAAGUGCGUCCUCGACUCCUGCAGGUACCUCCAGCAAGAGGGGUUCGAGGUCACCUACCUCCCCGUUCGCCCCGACGGCCUCAUUGACGUCGCACAGCUCGCCGAUGCCAUCCGCCCCGACACUGGGCUGGUCUCCGUCAUGGCAGUAAACAACGAGAUUGGCGUUGUCCAGCCGCUUGAGGAGAUUGGCCGCAUCUGCCGUGAGAAGGGCGUGCCCUUCCACACAGACGCGGCGCAGGCUCUCGGGAAGAUCCCAAUUGAUGUCAACCAGAUGGGGAUUGGACUCAUGUCACUGUCCGCGCACAAGAUUUAUGGACCCAAGGGUGUCGGUGCGCUCUACGUGCGCCGCCGCCCUCGCAUUCGUGUGGAGCCACAGAUGAGUGGAGGUGGCCAGGAACGGGGCAUACGCAGUGGCACAGUGCCCACGCCCAUUGUUGUUGGAUUUGGUGCUGCCUGCGAAAUUGCAGCCAAAGAGAUGGACUACGAUGAGAGGCGAGUUAGCGCCCUGCAGCAGCGUCUGCUUGAUGGCAUCCGUUCCAAGGUUGAUGAUGUUGUCAUCAAUGGUAGCAUGGAGCACCGGUAUGCGGGCAACCUGAACUUGUCAUUUGCAUAUGUCGAGGGCGAGAGCUUGCUGAUGGGGCUGAAGGAGGUGGCUGUGUCAAGUGGCAGUGCAUGCACCAGUGCUAGUUUGGAGCCUUCCUAUGUGCUCCGGGCGCUUGGUGUGGAUGAGGACAUGGCACACACCUCCAUUCGCUUUGGCAUUGGCCGCUUCACCACCGAGGAAGAGGUGGACAGAGCAACUGAGCUCACUGUCCAUCAGGUGCUUAAGCUCCGUGAGAUGAGUCCACUCUAUGAGAUGGCUAAGGCAGGCAUCGACAUCAAGAGCAUCCAGUGGUCGCAGCACUGA